rnacentral:rRNA from 1 species
AGCGAACGCUGGCGGCAGGCCUAACACAUGCAAGUCGAACGAACCUUUCGGGGGUAGGGGCGGAAGUGGGAGUAGCACGUGGAAACGUUCCUGUAGGUUCGGCAUAACUCAGGGAAACUUGUGGUAAUACCGAAUGUGCCCUGCGGGGGAAAGCUUUAUCGCCUUUAGAGCGGCCCGCGUCUGAUUAGCUAGUUGGGUGAGGUGAUGGCUCACCAAGGCGACGAUCAGUAGCUGGUCUGAGAGGAUGAUGAGCCACAUUGGAACUGAGACACGGCCCAAACUCCUACGGGAGGAAGAAGUGGGGAAUCUUGCGCAAUGGGCGAAAGCUUGACGAGGCCAUGCCGCGUGAAUGAUGAAGGUCUUAGGACUGUAACAUUCUUUAGCAGGGGACGGUAAUGACGGUACCCGGAGAAGAAGCCCCGGCUAACUUCGUG